rnacentral:rRNA from 1 species
GAACGCUGGCGGCACGCCUAACACAUGCAAGUCGAACGAAGUAGCAAUACUUAGUGGCAGACGGGUGAGUAACAUGUAGGUAUCUACCCUUUGGCCUGGAAUAACACGAGGAAACUUGUGCUAAUACCGGAUAAGUCUUUACGGAGAAAGCUUUAUGCACCAUUGGAUGAGCCUGCACUUGAUUAGUUUGUUGGUGGGGUAAUGGCCCACCAAGACUGUGAUCAAUAGCUGAUUUGAGAGGAUGAUCAGCCACAUUGGGACUGAGACAC